UACGAAGGGGGCUAGCGUUGUUCGGAAUCACUGGGCGUAAAGCGCACGUAGGCGGACUUUCAAGUCAGGGGUGAAAUCCCGGGGCUCAACCUCGGAAUUGCCUUUGAUACUGUAGGUCUCGAGUCCGGAAGAGGUGGGUGGAAUUCCUAGUGUAGAGGUGAAAUUCGUAGAUAUUAGGAAGAACACCGGUGGCGAAGGCGGCCCACUGGUCCGGUACUGACGCUGAGG
rnacentral:rRNA from 1 species